AUACGUAGGGGGCGAGCGUUGUCCGGAAUGAUUGGGCGUAAAGGGCGCGUAGGCGGCGCGGUAAGUCUGGAGUGAAAGUCCUGCUUUCAAGGUGGGAAUUGCUUUGGAUACUGCCGCGCUUGAGUGCAGGAGAGGUUAUCGGAAUUCCCGGUGUAGCGGUGAAAUGCGUAGAGAUUGGGAGGAACACCAGUGGCGAAGGCGACUUACUGGACUGUAACUGACGCUGAGGCGCGAAAGUGUGGGGAGCAAACAGGAUUAGAGACCCUGGUAGUCCACACCGUAAACGAUGAAUGCUAGGUGUAGGGGGUAUCGACCCCUUCUGUGCCGUAGUCAACACAAUAAGCAUUCCGCCUGGGGAGUACGGCCGCAAGGUUGAAACUCAAAUGAAUUGACGGGG
rnacentral:rRNA from 1 species